AGCUCCAAUAGCGUAUAUUAAAGUUGUUGCAGUUAAAAGCUCGUAGUUGGAUAUCUGGCCUUGCGUUUGUGUCCCGCCGUUUUCGGUUGUGUGAUACUUGUGCGGGCUUAUCUUCCGGUUGGUGGCAUUCUCGCGUUUGCGUGCGUGUCCACGGUCCGGAUCCGUUACUUUGAAGAAAUUUGGGUGUUCAAAGCAGGCUUAUGCCGUGAAAAUUGCAGCAUGGAAUAACAACAUAGGACUAUCGUGUCUCAUGUGUUGGUUCUGGGAUCGUAGUAAUGAUUGAUAGGGACCGUUGGGGGUGCUGCUAUUCCGCGGCCAGAGGUGAAAUUCUCAGAUUCCCGGAAGAGCAACUUAUGCGAAAGCAUUCACCAAGGAGGUCUUCU
rnacentral:rRNA from 1 species